UGAUGCCUUGCCUCUCCCACUUUCUUCACAUCAUGAAGAGGUUCAAAUGCAUCCGGCACAGGCUCUCCCACGCGCCUGCAAGCACUCAGGUUUGCAGCUCUGCUGGUGAGCCUAGCGUUCCCCGGCAAUACCUUUGUGAUAAAAGAUGAAAAACAUGAAGAAGUCACCUCGGAAUUGCUGCAGAUUUUCUCAGCCCUGAAAGAGAAUUGAAACAACUUCACAUCAGUGAAGCUGACUGUGAUGCUGCCAAAUAGAAAUUAUUAUUAUAAAGCCUUUAGCUGUUAGCAUAACAAAAUAGAUCUUAGAUUAAUGUUACCCAAAACAGCCUUUAAUGGAAAAAGAAGCCACACCCUGCUAUGUCUCUGAAUUUAAGGGAUGCAAAAAAACAACGAUAAGAGAGACCACACAAUUAUGUACAGAGCACAGUGUUCCAAAAGUUUCACAAAUAAGGGCAUGGAAGAGCAAAUCCUGUUGGUAGUUCUCAUAAGUAAAAGAUGACUUCAUUUAUUAUUUUACCAAAUGGCAUUCUCUGAUUCAAGUAAUUAAUAUAUAUGUUGGAAGACUCAGCUCAGGACACCCCACUAAAGGCUUAUGUUUUUUGCACAUUAACUGUAAAUUUCAUUAUGAAUGAAGGAAAAAUAAGAUGUGUGGAUUUUUGAACAUCAUAAAUGAUUGUGUGCCCCAUUAAAACUGUAUAUUUUGUAUGCUUUUUCUUCCCUGCUAAAACAUGUCCUUACAGUGACCUUACAGCUAUGCAAUGUCCCUGUAGGACAACACCAUAAAGAGGCUGCUAAGUUGUAGAUUAAUUUGCUAUCUGCUAGUAAAUAUUAAUCUACUGUCAUUAAAAUGGGAGCAGAAUGCCCACAUCUGUGUCAGAGUCAGACCUUUGGAGACCAUGUUAAUGU